UUGUGUCUGGGAUAGCAUUUGGUUCAAGACUAAAGAAAAGAAGGGCGUCGCCUUUCUUCGGUUUCACUGCAAUUCCUUUCCUUGCACACUCUGAGAGAUCCUUAUCUGUUUCAGCAGCCCUCCGGUGGCGAGAUUUCUCUGCCAAGGGGAAAACUGUUUCACCGCCUUUGGUCACAUCAGAGAGAUACAUGAGGACUGUAGCUAAACGAUGUCCUCCCCAGGCAAUAUUCACCUUGUCAACAAAGUAAUCAUAAUGUGACUCAUAUUUCUGCCCAUGCUCAUAUCUCAAUACCUGAAUAUCCUCCCCAUUUUCUUUUGGAAGAAAAGUCCAUGCAGCAAUUUUGUCCUCUAUGCCAGAAACAAUAGGAUCCUUGCUUUUAGAAAUGAACAUUCCCGAACUCGUUCGAACAGUACUGAGCUUGCUCUCUCCUGAAUCGUUAUCAGCAACCUCAGAUCUUUUUAGCUCGGAUCUUGCAAUAGAAACCAGGUGGUCGCAUUCUAGGUCCGUAAGAAAACCUUCAUAAACAAAAGCUCUCGGUUUCCAUGAAAUCUGCUUCACUUUACUAGGAUCUACAGUGGAGCUAGCCGAACCAGCAUACGAACAAGUUGAUUCCCGAACAACCAAUGAGAUCAAAA
rnacentral:misc_RNA from 1 species